GAUACCCUAUUAUUUUAAAUGUAAAAAUUUUAUACUUUGGUAGUAUUAGUUAUAUUCUUGAAACUAAAAAAAUUUGGCGGUAUUUUAGUCUUUUCAGAGGAACCUGUUUUAUAAUUGAUAGUCCACAUUAUAUCUUACUUAAUUUUGUUUUUCAAUUUGUAUAUCGUCGUCAUCAGAAUAUCUUAAUUAAGUAAUAAUUUUCUAACAUUUUUAUUAAAAAUGAUGUCAGAUCAAGGUGCAGUUUAUGAUUAAGUAAAAAUGGGUUACAAUAAAAUUAUUUAUACGGAGUAAUUUAUGAAAUUAAAUUAUUAAGGUGGAUUUGAAAGUAAAUUAUAUUAUUAUAUUUAGUUGAUUAUAGCUCUAAAAUAUGUACAUAUCGCCCGUCGCUCUCGUUUUUAAAAUGAGAUAAGUCGUAACAUAGUAGGGGUACUGGAAAGUGUACCUAGAAUGA
rnacentral:rRNA from 1 species